CCAAUAUUCAAUGAAAGGCUACAUAUUUUACUAACUUUCGCAUACCAGGACUAAUAAGUAGAGUAAUUAAAGCUAAUUACUUUAUACGUGCAAAUAGUAAGAGUGGCAAACUGUAAAACAGAUUUUUUAUAAUUUGUAUGGUUUUUCUUACUGAAAAUUUUACUGUCGGAAGAGUUUGGAUUGAGACUGUCCUUUUAGAUACUCGCGAUAGUAUGUUAGGGUUUUGGGUUUUUUUUUUUUUUCUUGGGGGGAGACAUAAGUUUCCUUUGAUGCAUUCUGGUGGUAAAUGCUGCAAGUCCAGAAUAAAUGAAAUGAAGAUCUGGGCUUACAGACAAAUCUGCACCUGCAGGCAUGAUUGUAGACAUGGGCCCAACUGAUCCCCAUGUUGAGACUGCUGAGGAUGCACCCACUUCAAAGAAAAAGACCACCUUGGGGAGCUUCAAGACCACUGAGGGAACCACACUAAGACCCCCACCACAAAAAAAGCUAUAUCCUGAGUUACAGUCUUAUCUACAAUUGGACAACAUUGACAGUGAAGAGGACCCGCUGGACUGGUGGAGGGAACACCAGAGACUCUAUCCACGACUCUCAAAACUAGCAAAAAAGUACUUGUGCAUUCCAGCCACAAGCACUGGGGGAAAUGUAGUGACCUACCCUUGCUCGUCUCUCAAGCCAGAAAAUGUGGACAGGCUCCAUUCUUGCCAAAAACCUGUAAACACCACGUUAUGGGGCAGUGGUGGCUCGAUGGUUAAGGCUCUGGGUUACUGAACAGAAGGUCAGGGGUCCAAGCCCCAGCACUGCCAAGCUGCCACUGUUGGGGGCCCUUGAGCAAGGCCCUUAACCCUCUCUGCUCCAGGGGUGCAGUAUCAUGGCUGACACUGCACUCUGACCCUAACAUUGUUUGAAUUUCACUGUGCUGUAAUUUAUGUGACUAAUAAAGACUAAAGAUAUUUCUUUUUCUGCAUA